CCUACGGGUGGCAGCAGUGGGGAAUAUUGGACAAUGGGGGAAACCCUGAUCCAGCGACGCCGCGUGAGUGAAGAAGUAUUUCGGUACGUAAAGCUCUAUCAGCAGGAAAGAAAAUGACGGUACCUGACUAAGAAGCCCCGGCUAAAUACGGGCCAGCAGCCGCGGUAAUAAGUAGGGGGCAAGCGUUAUCCGGAUUUACUGGGUGUAAAGGGAGCGUAGACGGCAGAGCAAGUCUGGAGUGAAAUGCCGGGGCCGAACCCCGGACGGGCCCUGGAAACUGUGUAGCUGGAGUGCAGGAGAGGUAAGCGGAAUGCGUGGUGUAGCGGUGAAAUGCGUAGAUAUCAGGAGGAACACCGGCGGCGAAGGCAGCUUACUGGACUGUAACUGACGUUGAGGCUCGAAGGCGUGGGGAGCAAACAGGAUUAGAUACCCUUGUAGUC
rnacentral:rRNA from 1 species